AUGCCACAAGCUUUUAGAACCAUAGUGAGUUACGUGGAAUCUUAUCUGGGCUGCUGGUGUCUCCUGGGAUUCAGACUUAGCAUGACUCGGAAAAGCAUAUCGGCAGCUGGUCAUCUAUUGUUUGGACUAAAGAAUCAUCAAGUCCUCCUGAUACAUGUUUGGAUGUUAGAUGGUUCAUGCAUAUUUCUGUCUACUUCUAGAAUUAUUGUGUUACCUAGAUUCCAAAACCAGUUCAACAUAGAUGGCAUUGUGAAUAUGAAACUGAAUACAGUACUUAUCCUCUCUGUUUUCAUUUUGUUUUGGAAAAUCACAGGUCUCUAG
rnacentral:rRNA from 1 species